CUUCACUUCUCACUUUUUCUCUCCAAGAAAAUCUCUCACUCUUUCUCUCUAGCAAGGAUUAUCUUAAGAUUGUUCUUGGAUCUUUUGGACCAUCAAAUCUCCAAAUUUCUUUCAAGUGUUCUUGAUUUGAAACUUCUCAUCCACAACCUUCCACUUAUCAAGGAAAACACUUAAGGUAAUCACUAAAACAUGUAACUACUAGCUUUUGAGGAUGGGACGCUAAGACGUCAGACAAAUCAUUUUUUUAUCAUCAUAUUGUAACUGAUUUUGAAACAUGUAACUCAUGAAACAAUGUAACCCUUUUCAAUUAUAUUUAUGAUGGUUG